GAUGAACGCUGGCGGCGUGCCUAAUACAUGCAAGUCGAGCGAACGGACGAGAAGCUUGCUUCUCUGAUGUUAGCGGCGGACGGGUGAGUAACACGUGGAUAACCUACCUAUAAGACUGGGAUAACUUCGGGAAACCGGAGCUAAUACCGGAUAAUAUUUUGAACCGCAUGGUUCAAAAGUGAAAGACGGUCUUGCUGUCACUUAUAGAUGGAUCCGCGCUGCAUUAGCUAGUUGGUAAGGUAACGGCUUACCAAGGCAACGAUGCAUAGCCGACCUGAGGGGGGGAUCGGCCACACUGGAACUGAGACACGGUCCAGACUCCUACGGGAGGCAGCAGUAGGGAAUCUUCCGCAAUGGGCGAAAGCCUGACGGAGCAACGCCGCGUGAGUGAUGAAGGUCUUCGGAUCGUAAAACUCUGUUAUUAGGGAAGAACAUAUGUGUAAGUAACUGUGCACAUCUUGACGGUACCUAAUCAGAAAGCCACGGCUAACUACGUG
rnacentral:rRNA from 1 species